CGACGCCGCGUGAAGGAAGAAGUCCUUCGGGAUGUAAACUUCUGAACUAAUCGGAUAAAAGGGUAGUGGACACACUACAGAAGAAGGUAGAUUAGGAAAAGUCCCGGCUAACUACGUGCCAGCAGCCGCGGUAAGACGUAGGGGGCGAGCGUUGCCCGGAAUCACUGGGUGUAAAGGGGACGUAGGCGGGUGAUCAAGUCAUCUGUGAAAAGAUUGCUCAACGAUUGGCUUGCGGAUGAAACUGAUCAUCUUGGGCGUAGCAGAGGUAGACGGAAUUACCUGAGUAGGGGUGAAAUCCGCAGAUACAGGUAAGAAGGCCGGUGAAGAAGUUGGUCUACUGGGCUACAGCUGACGCUGAGGUCCGAAAGCCAGGGGAGCGAACCGGAUUAGAUACCCGGGUAGUCCUGGCUGUAAACGAUGCUCACUAGGUGUAGGGAGCGAAAGACUCUCUGUGCUGAAGCGAACGCGAUAAGUGAGCCACCUGGGGAGUACGUCCGCAAGGAUGAAACUCAAAGGAAUGGACGGA
rnacentral:rRNA from 1 species